GACGAACGCUGGCGGCGUGCCUAAUACAUGCAAGUUGAGCGCUGAAGGUUGGUACUUGUACCAACUGGAUGAGCAGCGAACGGGUGAGUAACGCGUGGGGAAUCUGCCUUUGAGCGGGGGACAACAUUUGGAAACGAAUGCUAAUACCGCAUAAAAACUUUAAACACAAGUUUUAAGUUUGAAAGAUGCAAUUGCAUCACUCAAAGAUGAUCCCGCGUUGUAUUAGCUAGUUGGUGAGGUAAAGGCUCACCAAGGCGAUGAUACAUAGCCGACCUGAGAGGGUGGUCGGCCACAUUGGGAAUGAGACACGGCCCAAACUCCUACGGGAGGCAGCAGUAGGGAAUCUUCGGCAAUGGACGAAAGUCUGACCGAGCAACGCCGCGGGAGGGAAGAAGGUUUUCGGAUCGUAAGACUCUGUUGGUAGAGAAGAACGUUGGUGAGAGUGGAAAGCUCAUCAAGUGACGGUAACUACCCAGAAAGGGACGGCUAACUACGUG
rnacentral:rRNA from 1 species